AGCGAACGCUGGCGGCAUGCUUAACACAUGCAAGUCGCACGGGCGGGGGCAACCCUGUCAGUGGCGGACGGGUGAGUAACGCGUAGGUAUCUAUCCUUGGGUGGGGGACAACUGUGGGAAACUACAGCUAAUACCGCAUGAUAACUGAGGUUUAAAGGCGCAAGUCGCCUGGGGAGGAGCCUGCGUACGAUUAGCUAGUUGGUGGGGUAAAGCCUACCAAGGCGAUGACGUUAGCUGGUCUGAGAGGAUGAUCAGCCACAUUGGGACUGAGACACGGCCCAAACUCCUACGGGAGGCAGCAGUGGGGAAUAUUGGACAAUGGGCGCAAGCCUGAUCCAGCAAUGCCGCGUGUGU
rnacentral:rRNA from 1 species